rnacentral:rRNA from 1 species
CCUACGGGGGGCUGCAGUGGGGAAUAUUGGACAAUGGGGGGAACCCUGAUCCAGCCAUGCCGCGUGUGUGAAGAAGGCCCUCGGGUUGUAAAGCACUUUCAGUGAGGAAGAACGCCUGGUGGUUAAUACCCAUCAGGAAAGACAUCACUCACAGAAGAAGCACCGGCUAACUCCGUGCCAGCAGCCGCGGUAAUACGGAGGGUGCGAGCGUUAAUCGGAAUUACUGGGCGUAAAGCGCGCGUAGGUGGCUUGAUAAGCCGGUUGUGAAAGCCCCGGGCUCAACCUGGGAACGGCAUCCGGACUUUCGAAGGUAGAGGGCGGGAGAGGAAGGGAGAAUCCCGGGUGUAGCGGGGAAGUGGGGAUGGACCGGGAGGAGGACCGGUGGCAAAGGGGGCCUUAUGGACAGACACGGACCCUGAGGUGCGAAAGCUUGGUAGCAAACAGGAUUAGAUACACCAGUAGUC